rnacentral:lncRNA from 1 species
CACACCACUGCACUCCAGCCUGGGCGACAGUGAGACCUGGUCUCAAAAAAAAAAAUUCAUUUCCAACAGGGAUAGGCACGCAGUCCGGGCUUGGGCAGAGCACUCACUACCCUCAAGGCAGCUCAACCACCGCCAGGCAGUUCAGACUGUUAGAAAGUGUUUCAAAAAGGAUGGCCCUGCUAUGGACUACCUCACACUGCCAGCAGCACACACUGAGCUCACGUCUCCUCUACAUGUUCCUGGACUUUUGCUCCAACUUAAGUAUAGAAUGCACCCCAACUUAAGUAUAGUUUAACACUUGAUUUUCUUGGUUUCAGGCCAUCCUUCUGGGUCGUUUUGAGUGCUGUUUGGAUCUCAAUGUGAUCAUCUGGGGAAUGUGCUCUCUUUUCAUUGGCGUCAUCUGAAAUAGAAUAAGCACGUGCUUCUUGUCUUCAUCUAAGAGGUGGGAGAAAAUGAGAAACAGGACAGGACCGAGGGCAGAGUCUCAGGACCAGAGACUGCCCACCAGGUGCAGCUCAUCAAACUACUUCCUUCCUCACAACGGACUUUGCGUAUGCUUAGCUUCCAGCAGUUCAUCAACAGAGGCAAGCGCCAGAACCCAGAGCUGCCUGAAGCAGACAGGAUGCACUUGGAUGUUCGAGUAAAAAGCUGGAAGGUCAUCCUCUUCAAGGGAGCAAGGAUGGACACACAGUAGCUGCGUCUGGUGACACCGCCCCACCUUCCUGGCCCUUUCCUGCUUCUCAUCUUGAUUGUGGAUUGCCAGAUGAAUGAGAAACCUCAGCCCCAGGGCUUCAGCAGUCCCCACAGUGAAUCUACACGUGCCUUGGCUGCCUGAGGAUUCGAUGUCGUCAGCAGUGGUCAGGUCACCACCUCCCCACAUGUACAAGUCCUUGACUACCCACACCGGUCACAUGUUCCCCGCCCUCUAGGGUCACGGUGAUAGUCUCUUGCAGCCAUAGAGCUCUGCUCCUCUUUAGUGGCUUUUCUUUUUUUUUUUUUUUUUUUUUUUU